rnacentral:rRNA from 1 species
CCUACGGGAGGCAGCAGUGAGGCAUAUUGGUCAAUGGCCGAGAGGCUGAACCAGCCAAGUCGCGUGAGGGAAGACGGCCCUACGGGUUGUAAACCUCUUUUGUCGGGGAGCAAAGAGAGUCACGUGUGACUCAUUGAGAGUACCCGAAGAAAAAGCAUCGGCUCACUCCGUGCCAGCAGCCGCGGUAAUACGGAGGAUGCGAGCGUUAUCCGGAUUUAUUGUGUUUAAAGGGGGCGCAGGAGGAGGUGCAAGUCAGCGGUCAAAUGGCGGGGCUCAACCCCGUACUGCCGUUGAAACUGCAUCCCUUGAGUGCGCGAGAAGUAUGCGGAAUGCGUGGUGUAGCGGGGAAAUGCAUAGAUAUCACGCAGAACUCCGAUGGCGAAGGCAGCAUACCGGCGCGCAACUGACGCUCAUGCACGAAAGCGUGGGUAUCGAACAGGAUUAGAUACCCGGGUAGUC